rnacentral:rRNA from 1 species
GAUGAACGCUGGCGGCGUGCCUAACACAUGCAAGUCGAGCGGACGGACGAGGCUUUUGCUUCUCUUAUGUUAGCGGCGGGCGGGUGAGUAACACGUGUAUACCCUACCUAUAAGACUGGGAUCACUUCGGGAAAGCGGAUCUAACACCGGAUAAUAUUUUGAACCGCAUGGUUCAUAAGAGAAAGACGGUCUUGCUGUCACUUAUAGAUGGAUCCGCGCUGCAUUAGCUAGUUGGUAAGGUAACGGCUUACCAAGGCAACGAUGCAUAGCCGACCUGAGAGGGUGAUCGGCCACACUGGAGCGUAGACACGGUCCAGACUCCUACGGGAGGCAGCAGUAGGGAAUAUUACGCAAUGGGCGAAAGCCUGACGGAGCAACGCCGCGUGAGUGAUGAAGGUCUUCGGAUCGUAAAACUCUGUUAUUAGGGAAGAACAUAUGUGUAAGUAACUGUGCACAUCUUGACGGUACCUAAUCAGAAAGCAACGGCUAACUACGUG